UCGUUGGGGAUCUGGUGUCUGCACAGAAGCUGCGGCUCCACAAUCCUUUUGGCGAAUGGCAUUUUGUUCGCCAAAAAUAACAGAGACUGCAAGCCAAGUGUAUAUCCCCACUGCCUAGAAGAAAAAGGUUAUUGACGCAGCUUGUAUCCGUGGCCUGAAGAGCGCUCAGACAGUGAAGAUGAGAGUUGACUGAGUGUACAGAGUGGUCUGAAAAAGAGAACUUGAGGAGCAAAACCUUUAUGAUAUUUUGCUGAUGCCAGAGUUCGGGGGAUAAUCAUUUGAGAGGAGAGAAAAGCAACACCAGCCCGAAUGCCUGCUUGUUAAAAUCAAAGUGAGUAAUGCCAUCUCUGAAGGUGCAACACAAACUUGAUUCAGCCGGACUACAGCAGCAGAUGACCACACCAGGCAACGCUAUGAUCAAAAAAACUGAAGCCAUUCCUGCAGGCUGACUGAAACUGGAUGACAGCAAAGGGGGGAAUUUUUGGGUGGUGUUGAGCUGCAACCUAUUAUCACUCAUUUGAUUGUGGUAUGAUGAACCAGGGACGCACCUAGAAGAUCCAGGGCCCUCAAUUGUGUUUUCAAAACUUCUGUAGGAACAUCUAGUUUUUGAAACGUUACUGUUUUCUCACUUCUGCUCCAGUUAU